UACGUAGGGGGCUAGCGUUGUCCGGAUUUAUUGGGCGUAAAGAGCGCGUAGGCGGCCGAGUAAGUCCGACGUGAAAUCUGGAGGCUCAACCUCCAGCGGUCGUUGGAAACUACUCGGCUAGAGUCCGGAAGAGGAGAGUGGAAUUCCUGGUGUAGCGGUGAAAUGCGCAGAUAUCAGGAGGAACACCGGUGGCGAAGGCGGAUCUCUGGGCCUUACCUGACGCUGAGGAGCGAAAGCAUGGGGAGCAAACAGG
rnacentral:rRNA from 1 species